GAGUGCUGAUGUAGUGCAGUCAUGUCCAGGGUGUGCAACUCUGCACAUUCAAGAUUUCAUUACAUUCUACUUUAUUGCUUUCCAGAUACUUAUGUGAAGGUCCAAAUCCACGUUGUUGUUAUUCAAUAGCCUUUUCAGUAGAUAAAAUGUAUGCAGAAGGGAGGAAGGGUUGACGUGGAGGAGAAGCAAACCUGGAGAGGAGUGCGGAUAUGGCAGUAAUGAAAUCUUCCCUGUGACUUUCCACAAGUGAUCUGUCCCAUACUGCAUGGAACAAUUUCUCAUUGUGAUGGAGAAACAAGAGCAAUAUAAGACUUGACAAGGGGACUGGUUAUCUGAAAAGGAGCAGGUGCAGUGCUUUGACAAUUGAAAGCUAAACAAAUUCCUGUAAGUGAACCCUUCUUGCAGAGAGAGUUUAAGGGUAUUUAUUGGCAGAACAUCUAAGAGGGACUUGAGUUUUCAGGGAAUUGAAUUAUCACUAUUGCUUUUAUCACACAAAUCUGGGAAUGCAUGGGGUUUUUCUAGUGCUUUUGUUAUUUUUGGAGGAUAUGCAAAUCUCCUUUAAAACCAUACGCAGGAAAACGGACAGCAGUGCUGUGGUACACAUUUCAGAGACUUGUAGCAGCUGUAAGUAAACAUCAUAAAAAUAAGAAAUUACUUCAAAAGCAAGUGUAAACCUGGUAAAAUAAAUACAUAAAACUUCAGAAGCACCUGCCUGUGUAGCACAUUUGAUUCCAUUGCAGUCUGUUUUAUUGCUUUACACAUACUUAUGUGAAGGUCUAGAUACAUGUUGUCAUUAUUCAAUAGCCUUUUCAGUAGGUGUAGACAAGUAAAAUGUAGCCCGGAUGCUUAAAUCUGCUAAAAUAUUUAUAAGCAAGUUGGCUCUUGGAAAAAGUUUCCCACAGGAUGCAGUGGGUGUCAGGUCUAAAGGUCAGUGGCAGACAAAGUGAAGUGAAGGCUCUUUUGGAUUUAUUUUUCUACUUUUCCAGAGAAGUCCUCCUUAUGUCAAGGACUAAGAAAUCUUUCUUUGUUAUUUCCUAAAUUUCCCAAUGUUAACAGGCAUUUGCGGGUUUGUGGUUUGUUUGGAGUUAAGUGUCUUGUUGAAAGCUGAAUUUCUCUUUCUUUAAGGGGGGAAAUGAGUGCAGUUAAUAUAUUCAUGAACUCUUGUAGCACGGAAGUUCCUGGUGUAAGUCAAAAAAGCCAGAUGGAGUUUCAAGCGACUGUCAUGUACAGCUUAGGAAACGAACAUUCCUGAUACUAAUAAAAGGGCCAGAUUGGAAGUACAUAAUUAAUCCCAGUGUCCUUUUCAACACGUGAUAAGAUUUGGCUAUAGUAGUUAAUGGAGACAACUGUCAAGUUCUGUGAAGCAGUGGAUUGUUUGCCUAAAAUAAAAAUACCUGAGUGCUUACUCCUCCAUGUAUGUGAUGGUGAUGAGUGCUCAUGCUGCAGUUCAAAUGGGAAAAGAAGCGUGAGUAGUGGCUGAGUUAGCCUUGAAUAGAUUUCCUGUCUUCAAUAUGUAUGUAAAGAUAUAAAUAUUUAAUAUGCAUAAUAUAUCUGCAUACAUAUUUUAUGUAUAUAAAUACACUUGAAGAAAUAAGCGUAUAGUGGUUUUUAAGUGUUACACUGCAAAACCUUCUCUCCGUUGGAGCUGAUUUGAAAUGCAAUGACUGGAGAGCCACAGGAAACCAUCUUGCAAUUAAGUUUAUUUGCUGUAUGUAUCAGUGACCUGGAAAUAGUGUGCAGGAAGGUGCUAAAUUAAAGCUUCUGUGAUGGCACAGAGUCUAUGUCAGAGACAGACAGGAGGAGGCACGGGCAGAUGGCAGUCAUUACAAAACAGGUGAAUAAUCAGAUUGAGCAGAAGCUGAAUAGGCUGUGCAAGUGAGUGUGCUGUUUGCAUGCUGCUUUGGUUCUCGGUUAAAGUGAUGGGGAGUUCUUCUGCUGUGAUCUAGGAAACAGAGGGGUAGAAAACCUACCUGUAGCUGGAAGCGUGUAUCAUGGUGAAAGCACUGUCAGAGGGAACUUCUGGGACGAGUAGAAAAGUCAGUGCUUUCAGACCUGUGCACUGGAAAUGUUAUAAACCUCUUCAGCUUUGUAGACUUCAACUGCAAGUUUAUUCAGCUCAUGCAUAACAUGGAACAAUACUGUAAAAUGACCGAGAAUCAUAGUGCCUGGGGAGUACAGAUACGUGGUAUGACCAUAAAUAUUUUUUAACAAGACAUAUUUGUGAUGAUCUAUUUAUAUUGCAUACUUUACGUAGUUUGUUGGAAAACAUUUGGUAGCUGUCUGGCCUAGCUGUUCAUGCCCUAGCUCAGUCAUUGUUUCCAGGUUGUUGCUGGGAGGCACUGUAGGAGUGAUGAAGGUAAAGAAGAACAAAGGGAUGGUUGUGCUCAUGAGUGAAUGUUGUUAAUACAAUAGCAAUCUGUCUUUCCUGUUUGUAUUUCGUUCAAAAUGUUCCUGCCUUUUCCUCUUUUAGCAAGUUCUGUAAGUUAAACCAGCAGUGAACUGGUCUAACUGGAGAAUGCCGUACUCGAGAGGCAGUGCUUUGUCUGGGCUGGCACCUAAGGAGAAGCAGCACAACCCACCUUGCAGUUUAAAGUGUAUUUAGCCUAUGUAAGCUUUCUAGUCUUGAAAUUACCCUUUAGGAAUGUAUCAGUUUUCUCCUUAUACACUGUCAUCUUAGGAUGCCUCAGUCUGAGACCACCAGGAAGGACCCACCAGCACAAGAAGGUUGAGGGAAUUUGGUGGAUAUUUCUGCAGAAAUGAAGGUUAGAAAGAUAAGGAAAAAAAAUACUGAAAUAUUCACAAGUGCCCUAGAUAAGAUUGUUUCAUGUCUGAGGACAUGUUGAAUCCUGUGGGAAUGAGGAAGUUAAGCUACUAAAAAGUUGGAUUGAAAUCUUAUGUUUCACACUGAAUCAACUUGAUAUUAGGUAUCAAAGUGGUAUUAGUGGAAUUUGUAAGAAUGUGAGUAGUUUAUAUAAAGAACAUAGGAAUAAAGUAAGUUAGUCCAAAACAAAUCUUCUGCUGUGUCAGAGCCGAGUGGAGAAUGAACAUUGGAGGCUUAACGUGAGCGUAAUAAAUCAAAAUGCCAGAUGGGCCUCGGAGGACUUCCUUCAUUCACUUCAUUGUUUUCUCUGCAGAUACAGCAUGGUUCAGCCAAGUGCAGGGUUGUCGUUCUUCUGAUGUUCAGAGUGUUUCAGAGGGUUCUUGAAGACCAAGCUCUUGCCUGUGUAUUAAUUUAAACUGCCAACUUCAUCGUUCGGUGUUUGGUGCACUGAGUACUUUUACAUGCGGAGAUCACAGAGUGUGUUGGCAGUUUUGGGUGGGUAGUAUGUUUUGGCCUAAUGUAGGUUAUGGUAACCUACAGCAAAGGCUCAUAUUUGUACCUUCUGGAAGGUACCAUUUCCCAAAGCUGAUGCUUGGCAACAGAAGAUGCCAUCCUGACCCUCUGCAGCUUCGCAGAAAAUGCUCCAUAGUGCUUGAGCUUCCUAAGUAUGUAUCCCAGGGUACAGACUGCUUAGGGCUGCUGGCACAGAGUAGCUUCUCUUUUUUUAACCUUUUUAAUCUCCUUUCCCUGCGUGCUCAGUACCAGGUGAACAGAACAGUAAAAUAGAGGGCAGAGUUAUUUGGUAAGGUAGAUAUUGGAAAGAAAAAGGUAAAAGUAGAACGGAUUGGAAACUGUUCUUGUUUAAGCAAAUGGUGACCUGUUGAGCUGCUGUUACUGGAAUUUCUAAGGAAGGGCUCAGCUGUUGGACCUGGAGAUUCAGUACUCACAGCAGUACUCUGGCAUCACUGUUAGCUUCGAUUUCACAUUUAAACCUAAAAUUGCUGUGAGUUUUCCAUCACAUCCUCCUUUCUUUUGCGCCCUGACUGGGGCAUGAAAGCUGUAUGUUGUUUGUGGCAUCCGUACUCAUUCUGCCGGCUGAUUGGCCCAUGUUUGAUAGGCAUCAUUAUUUUAACAUUCAUUCUUACAACAUACUUGGUGUAUGUUGUAACUGUAAUGUAACUUUUGGUGUAAUGUGUAUUGUUAACCUGAUGUCUUCUGAGAGUAUCUUUAGCUUUUUAUAGAGACCACGUGAUAUACUAUUAGCAUGUUGAUAAACUUUAUGUGAUCUGAUUAUAUAUGGAUUGUGCUUAUAAAUAAGUAUAAUUUCUCAUCAUUGCCCCCAGCCUACUUCAUUUGGAGUUUUGCUUGAAUUAUUCAGUGAACUUAACCAGUAAAAUGUGAACUUGAGUAAUCAAUAUUGCACUUGCUUCUAGAAGGAUGUGUGAACACAUUUUUGUCCAUCAAAUUAGGUUAAGACAAGAAAUACUACAGCUAAGUUUUAAUAUUACUUUGGCAGGUGUGUACUUUGAAAGACAAAGGCAAUGUUUUCAAGAAUGCUUUUAUUGAUGCUGGUUCUCUGAGCUUAACUCUCUGAUCUCCCUGGAGGUCAAGGACAUCUUUGUUUUCACGUAGCCCUUUGCUGUGGGAUAACCAAGCUGUCUGCUGACAAGAUCAGGCACUUUGAGGUCACUGAAACAUGGGGAAUGUUCUGGUGUCAGGGAUGCUAGUUCUUCUGCAGCCUGUCCCUCAUCUGCCUCAAAUAUAUCAAGGGAGUAUUUCAAGGAAAUAUCAAGCAAAGAUAAGGAUGCUGCCUGGACCACUCUGUAACGUCAGCAUACCAGCAGGUGGAGCGUUGGUAAGAGAGCAGACUGUCAAGUCCCUCCAGCAUUUAAGAAUUGCCACCCAAGUCCUGCUGAGCUGAUUGCCAUGGAGGAUUAUUUUGUAGCUGAUACACUGCUUGUCCAAGUAACUGGCACCAUGAACCAUGGCAUUAUAAAAUCCCUGUAACAACGGAGGAAGUUGGACUCCCUCAGCUGGAAGCCAGGAAGCACAGGACUGUACUUCUGCCUCAGUGCUCUUACUGUGUUCGGUGUAAACCAUCCCGAAAGUACACUCUCAGUCAGGCUCUGUAAUGUGAGUAUUCUCUUCAUGUUGUUGGAAUGGUUGUUGUGUAACAUCCUCCCUCCUUAAGAUAAUUACAAAGCAACCCUAAACUGCACUGAGUGAUGUUCUUACUGCACAGUUGUUUUCUAUUUGAGGUGUGACAAAGAUCUCAGCUACACAUAAGUGUUGCAUUCAUGCAUUACUCUGUAGACAUGCAU